CCUGGCUCAGAUUGAACGCUGGCGGCAGUGCUUAACACAUGCAAGUCGAACGAGGGUAGCGAUACCCGAGUGGCGGACGGGGUGAGUAACGCGUAGGAAUCUGCCCUGCUAGAGGGGGACAACCUGGGGAAACUCAGGCUAAUACCGCAUGCGCUCGAGAGAGGAAAAGCGGGGGACCUUCGGGCCUCGCGCUGUGGGAGGAGCCUACGUCCGAUUAGCUAGUUGGUGGGGUAAUAGCCUACCAAGGCGACGAUCGGUAGCUGGUCUGAGAGGAUGAUCAGCCACACUGGGACUGAGACACGGCCCAGACUCCUACGGGAGGCAGCAGUGGGGAAUAUUGGACAAUGGGCGAAAGCCUGAUCCAGCAAUGCCGCGUGGGUGAAGACGGCCUGCGGGUUGUAAAGCCCUUUAGGCGGGGAGGAACGACGGGGCGUGAAUAACGUUUC
rnacentral:rRNA from 1 species